UUCCCUACGGGGGGCAGCAGUGAGGAAUAUUGGUCAAUGGGCGGGAGCCUGAACCAGCCAAGUCGCGUGAGGGAUGACGGCCCUAUGGGUUGUAAACCUCUUUUGCCGGGGAGCAAAGUGCCGCACGUGUGCGGUUUGGAGAGUACCCGGAGAAAAAGCAUCGGCUAACUCCGCGCCAGCAGCCGCGGUAAUACGUAGGUGGCGAGCGUUAUCCGGAAUGAUUGGGCGUAAAGGGUGCGUAGGCGGUCGAUUAAGUCUGGAGUGAAAGGUACCGGCUCAACCGGUAUAGGCUCCGGAAACUGAUG
rnacentral:rRNA from 1 species